ACGCUCGACACCUACGGGAGGCAGCAGUGGGGAAUAUUGCACAAUGGGGGAAACCCUGAUGCAGCGACGCCGCGUGAGUGAAGAAGUAUUUCGGUAUGUAAAGCUCUAUCAGCAGGGAAGAAAAUGACGGUACCUGACUAAGAAGCCCCGGCUAACUACGUGCCAGUAGCCGCGGUAAUCUGUAGCGGGCUGGCAAGGC
rnacentral:rRNA from 1 species